UACGUAGGUCCCGAGCGUUGUCCGGAUUUAUUGGGCGUAAAGCGAGCGCAGGUGGUUUAUUAAGUCUGGUGUAAAAGGCAGUGGCUCAACCAUUGUAUGCAUUGGAUACUGGUAGACUUGAGUGCAGGAGAGGAGAGUGGAAUUCCCUGUGUAGCGGUGAAAUGCGUAGAUAUAUGGAGGAACACCGGUGGCGAAAGCGGCUCUCUGGCCUGUAACUGACACUGAGGCUCGAAAGCGUGGGGAGCAAACAGG
rnacentral:rRNA from 1 species